UUUUCUCUGACGCCAUUUUAUUACGAGAAGGCCGAACCCGCCAGUAAGCUCGGUUUACACUGGAGAGGUGUUGCUGUAAGGGAAAAAAUUCAAUGAAAACAAAGUGGGAGUGACCUCCCCUAAACUUUAAUUAUCUUGUCCCUGAAGUUAGGAUGCUCAUCCAGACUACGUGUGAAAAUAACGCAGGUGGGGGACUACAGCCAGUACAGGUUGUGCAGUCAGAUCACACAUACAAAUCAUGUUUUGUCAAAAGAGGUGGCAGAUGCUCUACCAGAAAGACGGCAUGUGUGUAGCCAUGAACCCGGUUAUUGAGACCCUCGAGAUCCUUCGGUGCACUUCUAUUUCAAACACACAUGUGAGAGAUGUCAUUUUUUCAGAUCCGAAUGUUACAGUGGCACCAAAAGAUGUCAGCAAUUUAAAGCCAAUGCACAAAAAGAGACAGACCAACAAGAGGCAGAGAAGAUUUUAAAUGGGAUAGUGAGGUAGGGUGGAAGGGUUGAUUUUGGUAGAAAUGAGGGAGGGGAUUUUGUUUAUUUAGUAGUGUAUAUGACUAGGGACUUGGUAGAUAGAUUCUACACUAUUUAAGUUUCCUGAAGUUUUGGUGAUGAAUAUUACUUAUAAAACUAAUAUUUAUAAUUUGCCACUGUUAACCAUUAUGGUUAUUGACAACAAUGGUAGUGGUCAUCCUGUCUUUCAUGCUUUUUUUAGCUCAGAGCAGCAAGAUGUUCUUCUUCACUGUUUGUUUAAAGAUUAAGAAUGUUACAAGCAUUCUGUUCCUUGUUUCUUUAUAAAGAUUGGUCUGAAUUAAACACUCUGUUCAAAAUGUUUUUGAUGGAGCUAAUAUUAUCUUAUGUGCUUUUCACAUACAAUUAGCUAUCCAGAAACCGGAAAAGAUGAUAAUGAUGGCCCAUAAUAAUUAUAUAGACACACUUGAUAAAUAAUUUGUCUGACAAUAUCAAUAUAUUUACAGAAAUAUAACUUUGCCCUAAUCAAAUUAAGAUCCAAUUUAGCGAACAUCUCUAGCAAACUCUGGGGAAGGUUG